rnacentral:rRNA from 1 species
GAUGAACGCUGGCGGCGUGCCUAAUACAUGCAAGUCGAGCGAACGGACGAGAAGCUUGCUUCUCUGAUGUUAGCGGCGGACGGGUGAGUAACACGUGGAUAACCUACCUAUAAGACUGGGAUAACUUCGGGAAACCGGAGCUAAUACCGGAUAAUAUUUUGAACCGCAUGGUUCAAAAGUGAAAGACGGUCUUGCUGUCACUUAUAGAUGGAUCCGCGCUGCAUUAGCUAGUUGGUAAGGUAACGGCUUACCAAGGCAACGAUGCAUAGCCGACCUGAGAGGGUGAUCGGGCACACUGGCACUGAGACACGGUCCAGACGCCUACGGGAGGCAGCAGUAGGGAAUCUUACGCAAUGGGCGAAAGCCUGACGGAGCAACGCCGCGUGAGUGAUGAAGGUCUUCGGAUCGUAAAACUCUGUUAUUAGGGAAGAACAUAUGUGUAAGGAACUGUGCACAUCUUGACGGUACCUAAUCAGAAAGCCACGGCUAACUACGUG